rnacentral:sRNA from 1 species
AGUACUAGUAUGGGUGACCUCCCGGAAAGUCCUCGUGUUGCAUCCCUCUUUUUUUUCGGUUUUUCUCUUUUGUUUUGUUAAAAAUAAAUGACUCUAUAACUUUUAGACUGUGAGGCCAAACUUGGCAUGUGAUACAUUUUCAGAAAGCCCAAAGAGAGCUCUCCGAUGAAUGAGGAAGCACAAUGGAAGUCUUCUAUUAGUUUUUUUCUACUCCAAAUUUUGACCUUAAUGUACUUUUUCAGGCCUUUUCGUGAUCUUUGCUUUAUUACGAGGCGAAAAUUUUAUGUUCGGACAUUGUUUUCGAAUAUUUUGCAUGUAUCAAAGCUCUUAUAAACAAGAUAGGGUAUUCUUACAUAGCUGGUGGGACCCACGGCAAAUGGAUCAUAAAGUCUUCAAAAAAGAAUAGAUACGAUUGCAUUGCAUGUAGUAACGGAUGCGAUCAUACCCGCAUUAAUGCACCGGAUCCCAUCAGAACUCUACAGUUAAGCGUGCUUGGGUGAGAGUAGUACUAGGAUGGGUGACCUCUCGGAAAGUCCUCGUGUUGCAUCCCUCUUUUUUUU